AUAAAAUUCCAAGUGGGAGUAAUUCUAAGUAGAGGGUCAGAAAAGUAUGCUUCAAUGGAAUGUGAAAACAUGCUGGUGGUCAUGUUUACAACUGUCAAGAAAGAAAAGAUCAAAAAGUCUUAAGAGGUGGGGUUGAGUCAUGAAGUUCCACAUAAGGUAAAGGGAUGUGAACAAUCUGGCAGUUCCUCAAAAUGUGUCUUGGGACAUCACAACUCUGAAGGCAGGCCCUAUGCUUUCCAGAGAGUUCCCAGGAAGAAUUGGCUUGAAUGCUGUGCCACCAUCAGUUCCCCCUGAUUUCUGAGAGGAUCAUGUGGAAAUGGAGAGCAACAGCCCCUGGUGCUCACUGUGCUUGUCAAGAGCAGAUCCAGCAAGCUGUGAAGAUGCUCUGCACCCUGGUCUGGCCAAGGUCAACACCCCGAGGAGCGAAGAAGGCUUACCUUAGACUAGACCAACUCCGAUGCUGCCAAGACUGGGAUUAUCUGAAUGGACUCUGGUUCACAGUUUUAAAUAUACUUAAGGUUUUCUGUGAUCCAAGAAAAAAAUUACAGUUGUGCUCCCCUCUCCACCCCCACACACAUACACCUUAUUCCCCUUUUCAGCUUUCUCUUGGUAGCACUUUUUACAACUUGAAAAUAUGUUAUUUUUUAUUUGCUUAUUAU